rnacentral:ncRNA from 10 species
UUGAAAGGCUAUUUCUUGGUC